rnacentral:rRNA from 1 species
AAUGAACGCUGGCGGCGCGCCUAAUACAUGCAAGUCGAGCGAGAAGACGUAGCAAUACGUUUGUAAAGCGGCGAACGGGUGAGGAAUACAUGGGUAACCUACCCUCGAGUGGGGAAUAACUAGCCGAAAGGUUAGCUAAUACCGCGUACGCUCCUUGGACUUCGGUUCAGGGAGGAAAGCGAUACCGUGGGUAUCGCGCUCUUGGUUGGGCUCAUGUCCUAUCAGCUUGUUGGUGAGGAACGGCUCACCAAGGCUUCGACGGGUAGCUGGUCUGAGAGGACGAUCAGCCACNCUGGCACUGCGACACGGGCCAGACUCCUACGGGAGGCAGCAGUAAGGAAUAUUGCGCAAUGGGCGAAAGCCUGACGCAGCGACGCCG